rnacentral:rRNA from 1 species
AUUGAACGCUGGCGGCAUGCCUUACACAUGCAAGUCGAACGGUAACAGGUCUUCGGAUGCUGACGAGUGGCGAACGGGUGAGUAAUACAUCGGAACGUGCCCGAGAGUGGGGGAUAACGAGGCGAAAGCUUUGCUAAUACCGCAUGAUCUCUUCGGAGCAAAGAGGGGGACCGCAAGGCCUCUCGCUUCUGGAUGAGCCUACGUCUGAUUAGCUAGUUGGUAGGGUAAAGGCCUACCAAGGCGACGAUCAGUAACUGGUCUGAGAGGAUGAUCAGUCACACCGGAACUGAGACACGGUCCGGACCCCUACGGGAGGCAGCAGUAAGGAAUAUUGGACAAUGGUCGCAAGACUGAUCCAGCCAUGCCGCGUGCAGGAUGAAUGCCCUAUGGGUUGUAAACUGCUUUUAUACGGGAAUAAACCCGGGUACGUGUACCCGGCUGAAUGUACCGUAAGAAUAAGGGUCGGCUAACUUCGUGCCAGCAGCCGCCGUAAGAC